UGAACUAUAUAACAUACUGGAAGCCGCGCUACCAUAGAAAGUGGCCGAUCCAGCCUGUUAGACAAGGAGGCGCUAAAAGGUGAUGUGUUCUUUGUUUCUCUAACGUAUUACAGUCGAUUCGUCUAAAGUUCUCACACCAUAGUAGAUGAAACAAAACUGUAUACUAAUGUUUUCAGCUCAAGUAAUAUGUAAGACAAGGAAAGCAUGACAACUUAGCAUCUGUCUCUCUCGGCUCGGGAAUAA